CUUUCUUUGCUGGCGACCGGUGCACGGGUGAGUAACACGUAUCCAACCUGCCCUUUACUCGGGGAUAGCCUUUCGAAAGAAAGAUUAAUACCCGAUAGUAUAAUGAUUCCGCAUGGUUUCAUUAUUAAAGGAUUCCGGUAAAGGAUGGGGAUGCGUUCCAUUAGGUUGUUGGUGAGGUAACGGCUCACCAAGCCUUCGAUGGAUAGGGGUUCUGAGAGGAAGGUCCCCCACAUUGGAACUGAGACACGGUCCAA
rnacentral:rRNA from 1 species